rnacentral:rRNA from 1 species
AGUGAACGCUGGCGGUAGGCCUAACACAUGCAAGUCGAACGGCAGCACAGUAAGAGCUUGCUCUUACGGGUGGCGAGUGGCGGACGGGUGAGGAAUACAUCGGAAUCUACUUUUUCGUGGGGGAUAACGUAGGGAAACUUACGCUAAUACCGCAUACGACCUACGGGUGAAAGCAGGGGGUCUUCGGACCUUGCGCGAUUGAAUGAGCCGAUGUCGGAUUAGCUAGUUGGCGGGGUAAAGGCCCACCAAGGCGACGAUCCGUAGCUGGUCUGAGAGGAUGAUCAGCCACACUGGAACUGAGACACGGUCCAGACUCCUACGGGAGGCAGCAGUGGGGAAUAUUGGACAAUGGGCGCAAGCCUUAUCCAGCCAUACCGCGUGGGUGAAGAAGGCCUUCGGGUUGUAAAGCCCUUUUGUUGGGAAAGAAAAGCAGCAGGUUAAUACCCCGCUGUUCUGACGGUACCCAAAGAAUAAGCACCGGCUAACUUCGUG